CGGGGUCAAGCUUGGUGCUGGUCCUGUGAGCUGCGCUUGCAGACGCGGAGGCACUGGAGACCCGGGAACCUCCCACGCGCCAGAUGUAGGCGUGAGGAAUGACGCCCGGAAGAGAGUAGAAAGCCCAGAAACCCUGAGGCAAAGCAAGACCAGGGUGGCUGCAAGCAGUCCAUGAAGAAAGGAGUGGCUGUGAUUGACUGCUGCUGAGGCCAUGAAGAGUCACAUGGCAGAACCAGGCAGAGCGGGGAUUCGCCUCUGAUAGUCCCGAGACAGGCCGGGCUCCCUCUGAGCUCUCACUGGGUUCCGCCUGAGGGUCCCUCCCAGGCUUCCUCGGUCUCUGCCUUGUGCCUGGGCUGGGCCUGGAAGGUUUGGGGCUGCUGUAACCACAUCCCCAGCCGGUGGUUUACCCGAAGCCAGCCUGGCAGGCAAGCUCAGGGCUCUCCACCACAUCUCUCUGGGGUGCCCACACCAUCCUCGGUCAGAGAGUUCACCCCAGGCUGUGCAGCAGUGGGUGGGUGGGAAGUUGAGGCAGAACCUACAGAGUGUUUCAGAAGCCAGAACCCGGCCUGCUUCCUACCACUCCCCUCCUCUUACGGUAGACACGCUCUCAUGACUCUUCUACUGGUAAGGAAAUGGAGAAGAUGAACCGUCCUGCCCAAGGCCACAAAGGAGUCAGGGACUUGCCUCAGUUGUUUUCUUGAUUCCUGUGAUGCAAACCAUCUGCACAAAGCCAUCGGGAGCUUGCUGAUAAGCAUUCUUUGUAGGGCCAAGUGGCAAGCACUGCUGAGGACUCUUCUCCUUGUUGGGAAGGCACCUGGGAAUGGCCCAGGGCACAAGCCUGCCAGUUAGGCUGAAAGGAGCAGCCCCAGGGAGGACCAGCGAGCUCCAGGAAAGAAGCCCCUCCCCAGGGCAGAGCGAGGGUCAGUCCUGGGUGGAACACUGUGACUGUCAGCUGCUUGUCCCUCCCACCAGGCCCCUCAGGCUCCAGCAGCCAGGGAACAACCAAGCUCCAGGUGUCUUGGGCAAUGGUGUCAGGCAGGAGGCCGUGACUUGGGGCCGGGAACAACGGCCAGCCCUGCUAGCAAGACAGCAGACACCCUUCAGAGUUCCCUGGUGGCCACGCAGGGUGCCAGGGUCCCACUGUGCUCAGGUGUGUACAUGUGGGUGCACAGGACAACCAGAGGGCCUAGGAGGGACACUCAGCCUCCCACAGAAAGGGCAGCAGUUUGCACCUGUGGACAGUGAGCAAGCUGGAGAGAGUUCACAUGGAAGGAAGCAUUUGGGAAUCCACGCUGGUGCCCAGGUGGGCAGGUACCCAGGCAUUCAGGUGCCCAGGUGGGCAGGUACCUAGGUAGUCAGAUACCCAGGUAGGCAGGUACCUAGGUAGGGAGGUGCCCAGGUAGGCAGGUACCCAGGCAGGCAGGUACCUGUAUGGCAGGUACCCAGGCGGGCAGGUGCCUAUAUGACCGGUACCCAGGAGGGCAGGUGCCUGGGUGGGCAGCACUUGAACAUGACCCUCCUGAGUCACACCUGGCCUCUGAACUGGUUCCUCUCUCCCACAGGAGCUCCUUCCUCCCAACUCAGACACACCUGGCGGGGGACGCCUUGGGUUCCUGUCACACCCUCCCUACCCCCAGGUCAGACCUGGUGAGUGUGGUUCCCAAGUCUAGAGCUGGUUCCUCCGCAGGCCAGGGCAGGCCAGGGCAGGCCAGGGCAGAGGUGUGGCUCCCACCUGUGACACCGGCCAUCACCACGCUGGGCGAGUGCUGACCCCAGGGGGCAUCUUCAGGUUGCCUGGAGGCCCUCCUCCCCUCCAUGGAGACUCAGGGCAUGCACAAACCAGCCCAGCUGGGCU